rnacentral:misc_RNA from 1 species
GCACGCAUUGUUUUUUUUUUUUUGAUUGAUACAGCGCGUCCCCUCUGCCACAGAGCAUGGCCCAGCCCACGCUCGGCACAGCCCUGCCCGCAGGCCCCAUCGCCUCGCGAAAAGCAGCAGCAGGCACGCAUCACGGCAAGGACCCCGCGCCUCACAAUCUACUCGCCCCUGACCCCGCAGGCCGCCCCACAGCCGCCCCCCACCACCAUGCCCGUCCCCACCCGCCGCAUCCCGCCCGCGGUGGCCCAGGCUCCCCCACCAGCAAGGCAGUGUGAGGGCCGGGUGGGGGGCACGCCAGAGUCACGCCGGAGCUCCACCCACCACACGGAUGGCACAAGCGUGCUCACUGUUGCAGGUGCCCCCACCGCAGCGCCAUCCAGGACCUGACCGCCGACAGCAGUGGCGGUGACUCACUCCGACCUCCCCCUACGUCGUCGGUGCAUGACUCUGUCACCACGAGAAGCGGGCUGGCCUUUGGCGGGGAUAGUGGAGGGGGGCUGCUCGGCCUCCCCAGACAGAGUGGGAGCACUGGACCCUGCGAUACCACGCACUGGGAGGGGUGUGUUCCCCGCCGUCAGAGGCAUAGGAGAGCAACUGUCGAUGAACGAUAUGAUUUCCUAUGAUGUGCGCGGUAUUAUGCGAAGGUGCUCUUGUCGUUGUGUACGCGUUUGUGUCGGUGGGUGUGUGGAGUCAUGGCAUGUUUUUUCUCGUUCCGUCCUCUCUCCUGCUGUUGAGGCCAGGUAUGUGGGGCAGAUGGGAGACGAGAGACCGUGGCGGGAUGGAGAAGGCUCGAGCAAGCUCAAGACAGAAACGGAGAAGAUAGACAUGGUUUUCUGUUUCCCUCCAUAUGGGGGGGGAGGUAUGCUUGUUCUUUGAAGCAUGUCGAGGGCAAUCGCGAAGGGAGAGCGACUUGCAGAGAGAAAAGCACAAAAUGCAAGCGUGUCAUGAGUCCCCACCUCCAUCCCUUUCACACAAGACACAUGCUCUUGCGUGAAAAGAAAGGGACCGUACAAGAGGCAGAGAAGCCACAAUGGCGGGAAAGGGAGCGCAACGGAAGGGAAGGGGGCAUCCGUUGGCGCAUCGAUGCCUAGUUAGUGUAGAAUCGCGAGGUGUUCGUAAAGGGAGCAUGUGCGGAGACGAAGGCGGGGCAGCGGCUUGACUUGCAUGCCUCGGUGCGGUUCUUGUCCCCCUCGCUGGCAGGAGUUGCAAUCACGGCUCGUGUAAGUGUGUGUCUGUACGCGUUCGUGAUGGGUCAAGCAAAAAAAAUGCACCAAGCAGGUCGCAUUCGGCUCAGGUAACGCACCUACCAGCUUGCACGCAGGCGCAGAUACACAUCCGUCCAUUGACCGGCCUACUGCCGUUAGGAGUGAGACGACGAACCUCGGCCACACAACUCUUGCCCACCCAGGCACCAAUCCACCCGCUCACCACCCCG